AGUUAGUCAUCUUUCCCUGUUCAUCGGUGUCUGACCCAUUACCCUCUACUAUCUCUAAACACUCCACUAUUUCCAUACUGUUUUUAAUCUUUCGGAUCGUGAGAAGCCCUCCUCUUGCCUCUGUCCCAUCGUAUCUGGAUAUCGAUUUCCAUCUCUUUAACCUCAAACUUGUUGUUCCAAAUCUCUUUCUCUACAAAUCAGAUGACUGCUCAUGACAUCAUUAUUAUCAUCGAGAGCCCCCACUUUCUUUUCUUAUAUUUUCAAAUUUCAAUCGUUUAUUUCUUUUGACUGUAAAGUGUGAGACUCCCAGAGAAUAUUAUUGUAUCGAACGGGACUGUGUCCAUGUUUAUACAAAGCGUUGUACGAUUUUAUAUGUGAGAGACACUGACCAGCCGGAAAUUUCUUUUCCAUACUU
ensembl:ncRNA B0496.19 ncRNA